AUGCAUAGAUAUGUCACAGAACACCGAUUGCGAAGGCAGCUUACUAUGAUGAGAUUGACGCUGAGGCACGAAAGCGUGGGGAUCAAACAGGAUUAGAUACCCUGGUAGUCCACGCCCUAAACGAUGAAUACUCGCUGUUAGCGAUACACAGUUAGCGGCUAAGCGAAAGCGUUAAGUAUUCCACCUGGGGAGUACGGUCGCAAGAUUGAAACUCAAAGGAAUUGACGGGGGCCCGCACAAGCGGAGGAGCAUGUGGUUUAAUUCGAUGAUACGCGAGGAACCUUACCCGGGCUUGAAAGUUAGUGAAUCAUUUAGAGAUAGAUGAGUGAGCAAUCACACGAAACUAGGUGCUGCAUGGCUGUCGUCAGCUCGUGCCGUGAGGUGUUGGGUUAAGUCCCGCAACGAGCGCAACCCCUAUGUUUAGUUGCCAGCACGUUAAGGUGGGGACUCUAAACAGACUGCCUGUGCAAACAGAGAGGAAGGAGGGGACGACGUCAAGUCAUCAUGGCCCUUACGUCCGGGGCUACACACGUGCUACAAUGGAUGGUACAGAGGGCAGCAAGCUGGCAACAGCAAGCGAAUCUCCAAAAGCCAUUCACAGUCCGGAUAGAGGUCUGCAACUCGACCUCUUGAAGUUGGAUUCGCUAGUAAUCGCAUAUCAGCAAUGAUGCGGUGAAUACGUUCCCGGGCCUUGUACACACCGCCCGUCAAGCCAUGGAAGUUGGGGGUACCUAAAGUA
rnacentral:rRNA from 1 species